rnacentral:rRNA from 1 species
UACGAAGGGGGCUAGCGUUGCUCGGAAUCACUGGGCGUAAAGCGCACGUAGGCGGAUCUUUAAGUCAGGGGUGAAAUCCUGGAGCUCAACUCCAGAACUGCCUUUGAUACUGGGGAUCUCGAGUCCGGGAGAGGUGAGUGGAACUGCGAGUGUAGAGGUGAAAUUCGUAGAUAUUCGGAAGAACACCAGUGGCGAAGGCGACUCACUGGACACAUAUUGACGCUGAGGUGCGAAAGCGUGGGGAGCAAACAGG